rnacentral:lncRNA from 1 species
AAAAGAACCUGAGAAUAAUGGUUGCAGCAUCAGAUUUUUGCCUCAUCAAAUAGACCCAUGUAAAUCUGGUGCAGUCAUCAACUAGUGUUAGAAAAUAUUUGUAGCCAGCAUGCGUGGCCACAUUGUAAGGGCCCCAAACAUCACAAUGAACCAAAUCAAAAGUAGCAGGAGAUAAGUGGUUGUUGGAGACAAAUGAAAGCCUUCUCUGUUUGGCUAAAGGGCACACAAGGCAAGGAACAGAAGGUUCUUUCUUUCUGUUAUCAAAUCCCAACAAAUCUUUCACCAUAUCCAACUUCUUGAAGGACAGAUGUCCAAGUCUAUGAUGCCAAACAUGGCUAGUUAUAUUAUUGACUGAUGAAUUACAAAAGUUCGUAACAGGACUUGAAUAAAAUAAGACAGCUGAAUUAUAAGAAUUCUUUGAACUAAAAGAGCUUGCAUCAAUUAUAUAGAGAUCUCCAGCCCUUUUUCCCUUGCCAAUCAUUUUCAAUGUUGGUAGAUCAUGAAUAACACAUUUAUCAGUAAGAAAGCUGACACUUAAUGAGGACUUUCUUGUUAAAGAACUCACUGGCAAUAGGUUGAAUUUGAACUCAGGCACAAACAAUACAUCCUCAAGAAUCAAUUCAAGCGAUAUCUUUACAUUUCCAAUAACUUGAAUAGGAAUUUUAUCUCGAUUAGGUAAAGUAACAAAUGCAUUCUGAAUUUGUCUCAAACUAUUAAAUGCAUAUUGGUUUGAGCAAAUGUGACUUGUUGCUCCGGAGUCAAUUACCCAAACUGUUAGUGAACUGAUCACUUGGUUUAAGGAAAUAGAGAAACAUGUACCUGUCAUACGAUCAACACCAAAUUCCUGUUGUAUUUUGAUCUUUGCAGAAGUGAGAUGAGUGUUCAACACCAGAUUCCUGUUGUAUUUUGAUCUUUGCAGAAGUGAGAUGAGUGUUCAGCAGACUCAUCAAGCAUUGAUAUUGAGUAGGAUUCAAAGUUCGUAUGAAGUUUCUAACCCCACUUUGUGGUUGAUAUGUCUGGCUAUUUACUCCUUCAACUCUCUGCUUAGGUUUAUAUCCAGGAGGAAACCCUUGAAGUCUGUAAUAUUUGUCAAUGGUAUGGCCUGUGUACCCACAGUACGUACACACAGGUCUUCCUCUCUUUUGAGAUCUAUUGAUUAUUGCCCUGCAUUCACCCAUUUAGGCUCAUUCUUGACAUAGAGAGCCAUUAAGUUAUUACUGCCAGAAGCAUCAACAUUCACCUUCCUUUGGAGAGAGUAUGGAUUCAAGCCAUCAUCAUGUGCGGAAUUGCUGGCUGAUGAUGAAAAAGUACGAAUAUAUUGAUUUGGAAUUUCUGAGGCCAUUGAUCAAUUAGAAACGACAAGAAGGAAGCAUAAAGUAAUGCUCUGAUAUCAUAUUGAAGAAAGAAUAAUUUGGAAAAAAAUGGAAAAUAUUCU